rnacentral:lncRNA from 1 species
ACCAUUAGAGAGGGUUACAACAUCACCAUUGAGAGCAUCUCUAACAACGAGUACAAGAUAGAUGAAGUGUGGAAACCAUGAUAGAUGAAUUGCAAGCUAUCUACAUCUAUUAGUGCAUGCAUAUUAUGUCAGGUUAUGUGUGGAUUAUAAUUAUAAGUAAGUUAUUAUGUGGUUCCUAUAUGUAAUAUUCUAGUUUCAUGUUUGAAAUUUGUGCUUUGUUUAAGAAUGAAUAGAUCUUUCUUUAUAUAUAUAAAAGAGU